GAUUAGUGGCGAACGGGUGAGUAACACGUGAGUAACCUGCCCUUAACUCUGGGAUAAGCCUGGGAAACUGGGUCUAAUACCGGAUAGGAGCGUCCACCGCAUGGUGGGUGUUGGAAAGAUUUAUCGGUUUUGGAUGGACUCGCGGCCUAUCAGCUUGUUGGUGAGGUAAUGGCUCACCAAGGCGACGACGGGUAGCCGGCCUGAGAGGGUGACCGGCCACACUGGGACUGAGACACGGCCCAGACUCCUACGGGAGGCAGCAGUGGGGAAUAUUGCACAAUGGGCGCAAGCCUGAUGCAGCGACGCCGCGUGAGGGAUGACGGCCUUCGGGUUGUAAACCUCUUUCAGUAGGGAAGAAGCGAAAGUGACGGUACCUGCAGAAGAAGCACCGGCUAACUACGUGCCAGCAGCCGCGGUAAUACGUAGGGUGCGAGCGUUAUCCGGAAUUAUUGGGCGUAAAGAGCUCGUAGGCGGUUUGUCGCGUCUGUCGUGAAAGUCCGGGGCUUAACCCCGGAUCUGCGGUGGGUACGGGCAGACUAGAGUGCAGUAGGGGAGACUGGAAUUCCUGGUGUAGCGGUGGAAUGCGCAGAUAUCAGGAGGAACACCGAUGGCGAAGGCAGGUCUCUGGGCUGUAACUGACGCUGAGGAGCGAAAGCAUGGGGAGCGAACAGGAUUAGAUACCCUGGUAGUCCAUGCCGUAAACGUUGGGCACUAGGUGUGGGGACCAUUCCACGGUUUCCGCGCCGCAGCUAACGCAUUAAGUGCCCCGCCUGGGGAGUACGGCCGCAAGGCUAAAACUCAAAGGAAUUGACGGGGGCCCGCACAAGCGGCGGAGCAUGCGGAUUAAUUCGAUGCAACGCGAAGAACCUUACCAAGGCUUGACAUGUUCUCGAUCGCCGUAGAGAUACGGUUUCCCCUUUGGGGCGGGUUCACAGGUGGUGCAUGGUUGUCGUCAGCUCGUGUCGUGAGAUGUUGGGUUAAGUCCCGCAACGAGCGCAACCCUCGUUCCAUGUUGCCAGCACGUAAUGGUGGGGACUCAUGGGAGACUGCCGGGGUCAACUCGGAGGAAGGUGAGGACGACGUCAAAUCAUCAUGCCCCUUAUGUCUUGGGCUUCACGCAUGCUACAAUGGCCGGUACAAUGGGUUGCGAUACUGUGAGGUGGAGCUAAUCCCAAAAAGCCGGUCUCAGUUCGGAUUGGGGUCUGCAACUCGACCCCAUGAA
rnacentral:rRNA from 1 species